rnacentral:rRNA from 1 species
AGCGAACGCUGGCGGCAGGCCUAACACAUGCAAGUCGAACGAACCUUUCGGGGUUAGUGGCGGACGGGUGAGUAACACGUGGGAACGUUCCUUUAGGUUCGGAAUACCUCAGGGAAACUUGUGCUAAUACCGAAUGUGCCCUUCGGGGGAAAGAUUUAUUGCCUUUAGAGCGGCCCGCGUCUGAUUAGCUAGUUGGUUGAGGUAAUGGCUCACCAAGGCGACGAUCAGUAGCUGGUCUGAGAGGAUGAUCAGCCACAUUGGGACUGAGACACAGCCCAAACUCCUACGGGAGGCAGCAGUGGGGAAUCUUGCGCAAUGGGCGAAAGCCUGACGCAGCCAUGCCGCGUGAAUGAUGAAGGUCUUAGGAUUGUAAAAUUCUUUCACCGGGGACGAUAAUGACGGUACCCGGAGAAGAAGCCCCGGCUAACUUCGUG